CGGAGGUGCAAGCGUUAAUCGGAAUUACUGGGCGUAAAGACGCACGCAGGCGGUUUGUUAAGUCAGAUGUAGAAACGUCCCCGGGCUCAACCGUGGGAACUGCAUUUAGAAACUGGCAAGCUAGAGUCUCGUAGGAGGGGGUAGAAUUCCAGGUGUAGCGGUGAAAUGCGUAGAGAUCUGGAGGAAUACCGGUGGCGAAGGCGGCCCCCUGGACGAAGACUGACGCUCAGGUGCGAAAGCGUGGGGAGCAAACAGGAUU
rnacentral:rRNA from 1 species